GACGAACGCUGGCGGCGUGCUUAACACAUGCAAGUCGAACGGAAAGGCCCUGCUUUUGUGGGGUGCUCGAGUGGCGAACGGGUGAGUAACACGUGAGUAACCUGCCCUUGACUUUGGUAUAACUUCACGAAACUGGGGCUAAUACCGUAUAGGAUCUCCUGCUGCAUGGUGGGGGUGGGAAAGUUUCGGCGGUUGGGGAUGGACUCGCGGCUUAUCAGCUUGUUGGUGGGGUAGUGGCUUACCAAGGCUUUGACGGGUAGCCGGCCUGAGAGGGUGACCGGCCACAUUGGGACUGAGAUACGGCCCAGACUCCUACGGGAGGCAGCAGUGGGGAAUAUUGCACAAUGGGCGGAAGCCUGAUGAAGCAACGCCGCGUGCGGGAUGACGGCCUUCGGGUUGUAAACAGCUUUCGCCUGUGACGAAGCGUGAGUGACGGUAAUGGGUAAAGAAGCACCGGCUAACUACGUG
rnacentral:rRNA from 1 species